GGGGAUAAUUGACAUUGUUUUUCUUUAGAUAUAGAUAGAACAUAUGCAUAUUAUAUAAGGAAAUGUUUACCUGACCUACAUUUCUGUUUGGACCUGAUUCAACACUAAAGGAGUGUAUGUUUGUUAUCCAAUGCCAUUUCACUGUAUUUAGUGGUACUACUGCAUUUAGUAGUUUCCAUCUCAAGAACCCUUUCAAUGAAGGAAACACAUUUGAAUUUAUAAAACUGUACACUUUUGAAAGUGACACCUAUCACUAUAGAUAAUUGUUUUAGUGAUUGUGUCAGGGUUACAGUUGCCUCAUAUCUGCAGAGCAAAUAAAUCAAGCAAAAGCUUGACCCAUUGCAACAUAACCGUGCACCACAUUGAGCUUCACUUGACAGGGGAAUAGAAAGAUAAACAAACUACGAGAGACAAAAUGCACUGUAAUAAAAUAGUACACUGACUGAUAAUAAAAUGUAUAAAAACAAUAUUACAACAUGCAGUUUGACAAUCAAAACGUUCAUGAAACCAACACGGUUGAGGCCCAUUAAAACGGAUUAGAGGACUGAGGAGGUGAUAAAAGAUAACGGUGUGUUUAGGAGCUGAUGCACCAUUGGUUUUUAAAAAAAACUGUUAGCCACUGAGUUGUUUCAAGCUGCGGUUAGUCUACUGAUCCAUGCAAACCACUUAGCGAAUGUUAACCAAAGUAAAGAAAUGUUGUCCUGCCCAAAGGCACCCUGUCCCUAUUCUUCUCUCCAAAGUAAACUUCAGACAUUGUCCAUGUUUCCAAGGAACAAAGGUAUUUCCUGUUGAAUCUGGCGCAGGGAUAUAUCUCCUAUCAUGUUGAGGUGUGAUUCUGAGUGUGAGAGAGGAGCAGUUGAUUUAUUCACUUUUUUUAAGGAAGGGAAAUGUUGGUAUAAACUAGAUGUCUAUUAAUCCUUCUCUAUUGUCCCUCAUACUCUUUAUGUGAAAUCAGCCCUCGGCCCUCGCCUGCUCAGGACAUGAUAUAUUAGCUUUUUAAUUGAUAUUCCCACAUAGCAUAUUGAAUGGCCGCCCAGAUAAACUAUGGCUCGGUGAACAAUGCUUAAUCUGCCCAACACCAUUUUAGUGAACGUGUCAAGUAGUUGAUUCAUAGAUUCUCAGUUCAAAGUUGGGCUGCAGUGGUGUUGAGGAGAGCAAGUGUCUCUUUAUGGAUUUUCCCAUAUAUGUCCCCAUAACAGCUUUUUUUUUGUCUAAAGGUCAGCUUUAAUGACAUAGAAAGUCAAUGCGUAGGCUGCGGAGGCGGUGCGCUAAAUAAAACGUAGGAAAGUGCUCAAUGUAAAUUGUAAGUAGCUGCCAUGCAAUUAAAUAGUUUAUUCAUCAGGAAUAAAUGGCUGGUUAGGCUGCUCUAUAUUUGUGAAUGAAUAGGUUUCAUCCCAAAAGGGCACACAGAUAAGCAGUGGUUAAACAUUUCAUCAAAUCCAGAACAAUUCAAAAAUAGAAUAUUCAUGGCGAUUGGUGAAGUAACGGGUAAAUAUUUCUUAGAGUUUGUAUACUCUGUUUAACAAUAUUGCAUUAGAAAAUAAAUGCUAUGUUAUUCAUAGUGACGCCUUUUUAAAAGCAGAUUUUUGUUUGUAACCGAAGCCACGAGGCCAACAUUAUAGAAAUGUGUAUCUCAAUCAAGGUUAGGAAAAUGGAGGAUUUUUUUGGAGUUGAUACGUUAAGCAUGUGUGCCGUUGACAUAGCAUGUUGAAGUUCUGGAGACCCAGAACUCUCAUAAGAAACCAGCAACACAGAACUAGCAUUCAUGACAAGAGCAGUCCCCAGCGUCAUGAUCAAUGCCAUUCACAGUCACCGACACAUCGAUCCUAUGCAUAACAAAUUAAUCCUCCUAUUGAUUUGUUAUUCCUCUUUGGUGGACGGGUGGAGGUUGUCCAUCUCGUGUUACUCACGCGUCACCCUAGCCCUCAGCGCCAUGUUACGAAACAGGUCAUUGUUUUGACAGUCAACACAACUACAAUGAGCAAGCAGACUGGCAAACAGGCUCUUAAAUGUUCUUGCGGAGCUGUGACGCCAGCUCAUGUGACGCUCAUGGUUAUUGAUUGAUCGUUUAACGGUAGGGCGUAUUGGAUAAAGCAGGGGCAAAAUCCAACAGCAAUGGCUAUUGAGUUGGAUUUGGUGGCAGUCAUGCUCAUGCUGUUUGCUUAAAAGUGUACAACAAAACCAAACAACAGUUUUUAUAAAAGCCAUGGCCAAGUAUUUUCAAUUGCAUUUGAAAAUAAAACGCUGCAUUGAUUUUGAUAAAAUGUCACAUUAUCACAUGAUGUGGUUAUGUUGUAUGAUUAGGUUUUUAAUGAAUGUAGAAAAUAAAAACAAUUGAUCUAACAAACAAAACCAUCUGACACCGGUUCACCAUUCAGGUGAGGCUUCGUCAGUACAGAGGUGCUGUUCCCUAGUGUCAUUGAGACAAAGGGCAGGCCGAGACAUUCAUUAUUUGUUCAACUGAGCAAAAACAUUCUACCAAGUCACCACAGCAUUCUUCAGGAACAGACAAGCUUAGCUUCAUAUCUCAAUAUUACGGCAAUCCUAAUCUAAGAUCGAGCAUUCCUACUCUGUUAUAGCCAGCCUUUUCUCCAAACCAGGUGGUUGAAGAUAAUGUAUAAUGGUUAACAAAAUAAUGAUUAAUCUAGAAAUAAUGAACUUUUAACAGCACACACACGGGCGUGCACAAUUUAGGGUUAUAGUUUUCACCCCUUUCCUCUUAUCAGCAGACGAGUGGGAGCUGAUACCAUUAGGCUGGCUAGCUAUCUCUUUUGUUCUCUCUUUUGGCUAAUAGUCGCCUGUUUCAGCCUUCUUGGAAUAACCAAAGGACCAUGCUUUGUGCCUUUUUUAGAUCAAGUCACAAGAAGAUUUCAAAGAUGAGGCGGUUAGAGUUGAAUCAUUCGAGGAAGGAGUGACCCAGUACGAGAAGCAGAGCAGUGGGUUUUGACGACAAAAUGUGUUGUCAAAAAUCAAGCUACAGAAGGCUGCUAUGUCACGUUGGUAGGGAAGCAGACGGGAUUUGUUAAUCGGAAAAUAUCUUGGUAUUAGCACUCCAUCCUAUAUGCCCGAAAUAGGUUGUUGUGCAAUAUUAGUAAAAUAUGAAUAAUGUAUAUCAAAAGAAAAUUUUGGUCAUUUGGGGUCGAUUUUUGUCUGUCAAAUGACCUAUUAUGUUUUUUUUAGGUAGAAGAUCAGGUUGGUUGUAGAACUUUUGGGUCCGAGCCUGGCUGCAAAAAAAGGAAGGGGCAGAGAGUUACACAUUGGUUCCAGUUUGUUUACACACUUGAUCUGGUUUAUGCAUUUCUUAUUUCUGCUCAGCCUCUUCUCUUGAGGUACUUUGCGUGUCAUACUUUGUAAUACAAGAGAAGAGAGACAUAACUUCUGGGGUCCAACUCUACUACAAGAAAAGGGGUUGUUGGCAGGGAUGAAAAUCCAUCUGGUUUUCUGAUGUCUGAGAUUUCAGCAGCGUUUCCUGAUUGCCAUUGCCUGUGUCAGGGAAACAAAAGUGUUGCCCUGACUCUGCGGUUCUCCACAGUCAGUGGUUCUUAUCAUCUUUUCUGUGCGCCAUGAAGCUGUGUACUCUCAGGCUCGUUGCCUUCUCCUUAACUUAACCCCCUUAAUCAAAAGCCUUGAUGCACCAAGAUGAACCUUCCAGGUUUCUUCAUGCUGUUCAGUAUCUGAAGCUGCUCAGCUUUGUGAAUGGAUUAAUAUCUUGUGCAAUUCAGUCAAAUCGUAGCCAAAUCCCUGUGUGUUUGAGCUUUUCGAUGGGUUCAUGAUGUUGUUAGAAAGCUUUGAGCGAUGAAUUUCUUCAGAGGUGUCUCUCUUAUGUUGGGCAUAGAGUGGCAAAGUCACACCCUUUCCGGUAGAGGCCAUGGGACCUAUGAGAUGGUGAAAAUAUGAAUGGGUUUCAAUGGAGAGAAAGUCAUUAUUUGUUGGUCCCAGUCUUUAUAUGCCCUGGAUUACACAUAUGUUGUUUGUGGAUUUAAAUGAUAGUUAUUCAUGCAAAGAUCAUUUUCGUGAAGAAGUUUGAUAAUGUUAGGUUUUGUGUGAGGCUGCUUUGUGAACUACAGCUCUUCGCUGCUCUUGACGCGAAUGAUAUACGUCACCACCCGCACUUGGUACUCAUGUUGAUCUCUCUGCUCAACUUCACAGCAUUUUUCCAAGGGGAGGAUAAAAUCAUCGAAAGAGGUGAAAACCAUUAUAAGUCGGGGCAUGUGGAGAGUUUCAGUUAUGCCGAUGGGGAGAGUGUCAGUCUUGUCCAUGCCAGUCGCAUGGAGCUUGAAAUCACAUAUGAGACAUGUAGUCUUUCUCAUUUUGUUUUCUCUACAGCCUUUAACUGAACAAUUGCACAAUAAACGGUCAAAUGAUUAUCAUUUUAUCCACAAACAACAUGUGUAAUCCAGGGCAUAUAAAGACAGGGAUCAGAAAAUUAUUACCAUCUCUCCAUUGAAUCCCAUUCAUAUUUUUCGAUCUCAUAGGUCCCAUUGGCUCUACCGGAAGGGGCAGGACUUCGCCACUCUAUUCUGGUAGUAAUCCGUAUGAAAAGAGUUAAAAAUAGUUAUUUUUAACUCUCAAAAACAGAAUCAUACACAAGCACACAAUUACUGUUAUUGACACUGUUACGUCAUGGAAUGAGAUGUCACCACAAAACCUUUUGGACAUAUUUAGGGAGCUGUCAUUUAUGUUCCUGACACGUUCCUUCCUUCUUCGGACGAGGUUUUGCGAUGGAAAUGGAGCAUUAGUGCCUAGCUUAGCAUGUAUUCAAAUUGACGCCGUGGUCAGGUUUUGAGCUAUCAACCUAUUUUACCAUAGAUGCAUUUAUAGAGUCUUGUACAUGCAGUAAACAUUGUAGAUGGCAGAAAUGAUGGCUGAAACGAUUCAACCUCCCAAGACGGAAACCUCCUCUUAUAACAAGCGAGGUUAGGACGCUGCGACUCAGGUCCAUUUAAUGGCUCUGGACUCUGGGUCACUCAUGGAGUCACAAGUGUGCUGCGGGAAUUAUCGUGGACUAGUACAAUCAUUAUUCAGAUUAUACAUUUGAUUACUAAUAAAUUCAACGAGUUAAGGAAUUUAAAAAGUAAUGGGCAUUUUAUUACAACAGUUUAACCAGUUACGGUUGAUUUAUAUGGGGUAUUUGCUUGUUUCAUUUAAUUAAAUAAUGAAUAUGUGUUAAUAGUUUUUUUUCACUGACGCAGUGUCGCUGGUUAGGGUUAGGGUUAGGGUCGUGUGUUAGGGUUAGGGCCGUGUGUUAGGGUUGGGGCCAUGUGUUAGGGUCGUGUGUUAGGGUUGGACUAGGGUUAUGCAAACAACUAAUAUUUAAUCAAUGAUUAACUUGGCACAAGUAAAUGAAAACAAUUAACUUGUGCAAAAUAGAUAUUUUAGUAACAAUUAACAAAUGUUAAUAAAGGGUUAGGUAAUGACUAGUUUGCUAUUUACCUUUUAUUAUAAAGUGUUGCAGAAUAAACUUGUAUGGACAGCAUGCCCUUUUAAAGGAACCAUAAACAUGUGCUAAAUGAUUGCUGCUCAAUUGUUGGGGUCAGUUUACCUGAAACAAAAAUGAAUUGAAUGCGAUAAAGAAGGCCAUCAGGAUGAUUGAACUGGACAAUUAAAAGCAUACAACAAACUCAAUGAUGAACAUAAUGUUAUGAGAAUGUUUUGAACAUGUAUUAUUGAUCUCAUUGUUGUUUAUUGAAGCCCUUUUAAAAUUAAUCAUCCCAUUAAAGUGAUUCCUCAGAGUUUGAGCAUAUAUGAUGAGCGAAAUAAGUACAGGCAAGACAUUGGCAACAGCGACAAAAGGAACUGCCAAUGUUGGGAUUUGGCUGUGGCCAACACACUUGUUUGCUCGCCCAGUCAUUUUGUAAUUGUUUUAGCCGGUUCUCUUCCUGAUUUACAGCCUGGCAGGGCAGCUUAGUGUGUUGGCACUUGGCAGGAUGGCUUGGCUGUCUACACAGUCGCCAGACAUAAUUCUUCAGUUGGUUUGACUGGAGUUGGGACAUGGAUCACCUUCAGAACCUCUCUUUGGCUCACCGUUGUUUUUUGAUAUUUUUUUGAUAUUUUUUUUAUUGGUCUCACAAGUGGCUAUAGAAAAAACACUUUGACAGCUCUGUCGAAGCGUUUUUUCUAGAGCCACCACUUGUUGCGCUGACCCAGAAGACCUCUGGGAAAGUCUUUUCUCUCUUUCUGCAACUGCACAACUCCCACUGUCAGUUAGACACCUUUUUGCAUCACUUCCUGUGUGUCAUCACUGUUGACUAUGUGCAUGUCCUUGAGGUCUAGUCAUGUUCUGAUCUGAUUUUUAUAUGGGCUGGUUAAGACAAACUGUACUGCUAAACAACAUUAGAGGGUUAUAUAGAGUAUUUGACCUUUGAAAUGGGCUUAUGGAGCUUUCAGAGGAUAAACUUAAUGCACUUUAUUGCCGGGAGCAGUCAGACGAUCACCUUCACAUCAUAAAUGUGACCAAUAGGCAUAUCAAACUUUAUACUGCAUUGACCAGCUCAUUAGACCCAUUUUUUAAUGAAUCCUAAACUGGUCUUUUUUUUUUUUUUUUUUCAUAAACUGAAAGAAUUUACUUUAUUAACCCCUGGCGCAACAUUUUGGAUUCAUAGCAAGUAUAGGACAGUCGGGGCUUGUUUUCUACAUGAAUAGACGGCAUGGCAUGUUGUAAUGUUGGCCAGGUCUGCUGAGGAGGCCUGACGAGAGUCUUUAGACCAGAGACUAAUGAGUCCUCUGUGACAUCCUGCACAUACAGUCCUUACCUGCUCAGUGAGCCAGAAAAAUGAUCCUCUGGUCCAUUAGGGGAUCCACAUACCUCUGAGAAUGAGAGUAUUUUGGUAGAGCUCUCACUGUCUCUUGUUCUCUCGCUCUCUCUCUCUCUCUCCCUCUCACUAACUCUCUCACACACUCACACACACACGCAUCCUUUCUGUCUACACUGUACUACUUCGUUCCCUUCCCGUACUGGAUUUAAAGCAUGUUUGUAAUGUGCACAAAUUUCAAGCUGUAUUUAUUUCACAAUUAACCUUUCCUUUUAGGGAAGGCUUAGGCCAAAUUAAGCCAGAGGGUAUUUCCCAUUUCUUAUACGAUGUUGGAAUCAGAUUAAUUCGGAUG